CGAGCAGAGCAGGUGAUCGCUCGCCCCCAGGGCGAGAGGAAAGUCCGGGCUCCACAGGGCAGGAUGCCGGGUAAUCCCCGGUGAGGGUGACCUCGAGGAAAGUGCAACAGAGAGCAGACCGCCCGCGCGGGCCACGUGCCCCGCGGGCAAGGGUGAAACGGUGGGGCAAGAGCCCACCGCGCGACCGGUGACGAUCGCGGCACGGCAAACCCCAUCCGGAGCAAGGCCACAUAGAGGGGCGUUCGAGGGCUGCCCGCCCGAGCCCCAGGGUAGGCCGCACGAGGCCCGCGGUGACGCGAGUCCCAGAGGAAUGAUCGCCACGCGCCCCCGAGCGAUCGGGGCCGCGACAGAACCCGGCUUACGCGGUGCUCGGGCC
rnacentral:RNase_P_RNA from 1 species